UGCAGUCGAGCGGUAACAGGAAAGNGCUUGCGCUUUUGCUGACGAGCGGCGGACGGGUGAGUAAUGUCUGGGGAUCUGCCCGAGGGCGGGGGAUAACCACUGGAAACGGUGGCUAAUACCGCAUAAUGUCGCNAGACCAAAGUGGGGGACCUGAAAGGGCCUCACGCCGUCGGAUGAACCCAGAUGGGAUUAGCUAGUAGGUAGGGUAAAGGCCUACCUAGGCGACGAUCCCUAGCUGGUCUGAGAGGAUGACCAGCCACACUGGGACUGAGACACGGCCCAGACUCCUACGGGAGGCAGCAGUGGGGAUUAUUGCACAAUGGGCGCAAGCCUGAUGCAGCCAUGCCGCGUGUAUGAAGAAGGCCUUCGGGUUGUAAAGUACUUUCAGCGGGGAGGAAGGGUUCAGCUUGAACAGAGCUGGAUUUUGACGUUACCCGCAGAAGAAGCACCGCCUAACUCCGUGCCAGCAGCCGCGGUAAUACGGAGGGUGCAAGCGUUAAUCGGAAUGACUGGGCGUAAAGCGCACGCAGGCGGUCAAUUAAGUUAGAUGUGAAAUCCCCGGGCUCAACCUGGGAAUGGCAUCUAAGACUGGUUGGCUGGAGUCUCGUAGAGGGGGGUAGAAUUCCACGUGUAGCGGUGAAAUGCGUAGAGAUGUGGAGGAAUACCGGUGGCGAAGGCGGCCCCCUGGACGAAGACUGACGCUCAGGUGCGAAAGCGUGGGGAGCAAACAGGAUUACAUACCCUGGUAGUCCACGCUGUAAACGAUGUCGAUUUGGAGGUUGCGGUCUUGAACUGUGGCUUCCGAAGCUUACGCGUUAAAUCGACCGCCUGGGGAGUACGGCCGCAAGGUUAAAACUCAAAUGAAUUGACGGGGGCCCGCACAAGCGGUGGAGCAUGUGGUUUAAUUCGAUGCAACGCGAAGAACCUUACCUACUCUUGACAUCCAGAGAAGACGUCAGAGAUGAGGUUGUGCCUUCGGGAGCUCUGAGACAGGUGCUGCAUGGCUGUCGUCAGCUCGUGUUGUGAAAUGUUGGGUUAGGUCCCGCAACG
rnacentral:rRNA from 1 species